CCUACGGGAGGCUGCAGUGAGGAAUAUUGGUCAAUGGCCGGAAGGCUGAACCAGCCAUGCCGCGUGAAGGGCAGGGACCUAGGGGCGUUAAACUUCUUUUGUGCGGGAGCAAGAAUGGUCACGUGUGGCCAGACGAGAGUACCGUACGAAUAAGCAGCGGCCAACUCCGUGACAGCAGCCGCGGUCAUCCGGGGGAUGCAAGCGUUCUCCGGCUUUAGUGGGGUUAAAGGGUGCGGAGGCUGUGAGGUAAGUCAGCGGUGAAAAGCCCCCGCUCAACGGGGGGAAGUGCCAUUGAUACUGGCUGGCUGGACUGCGGAUGCCGUGGGCGGAAUGUGUGGUGUAGCGGU
rnacentral:rRNA from 1 species